rnacentral:lncRNA from 1 species
AUCUUGAUACUUGGCCUAUUAUGAUAGGAACACAGGGGUGUUUUCUUCAAUAGAAGAUGACAGCAUUCUAUAAUGAUAAGAAUCCAUCCCUGCUUCCGAAAAUUUGAGAAAUAGAAAAACUACCAGCAUGAAGGAGAAAGUUUCUGAGUGCUUACCGACCUGCAGAAAUGGGAGACAGAGAAGUGGCUCCACAAAAUGUGGAGUCUCCUCAGCCCCAAACCUGAGAAUUCCAUCAGACUAAUUUGUGGAGGUCAGCCACUGGUGGUGCUUCACUUCAAUCCCAGCACUCAGGAGGCAGAGACAAACAAACCUGAGUUCAAGGUCAGCCAGUGUUCCAGAGCAAUGUCCAGCACAGCCAUUGCUACAGAGAGAAACCCUGUGCUUGAAAAUAUAAAACAAAACAAAAUUGUAGAUGUAAUUGAAGUCAGGACCUUAGAUAAAGAGUGUAUCUUAAAUUAUACCAGGAUAAUUAAAUCAUUUAUCCUGGGUUAAUUAAAUUAAUUAUUGAGCACAGACAAAUGUCUGUAGCACCAAGGAAGCGGACGAGUAAGGAACAAUACAGAGGACAUUGAAUAGAUUCACCUCCUGAGUGGAGGUGGCCUGCUAUUUCUGACAAUUAGGAUUGAUGAGGAUGAAAUGAAAAUAGUGUUUCAUAUACCUGAAAAGUGUGUAAGAAUUGUUGGUAAGUAUAUGGAGAAAAGAUGGCCCUUGCGACCCAUAGCUUAAAGGGAAUCUACAACCUCAGUAACAGGUACAAAUUUUACCCUAAACUGACAAAGUUUGAGUGUGACUAAUUCUCUAGAGAUUUGGGGAUGUGAGGGCUCCUCGGUAACAUGGAUACUAGGUUUCUGAGACCCUACAAUAAAUCAAGAAUGAUUAACCUUCCUUUUGUAUUACAGAAGUUAACUACCCAAUGACAUUUAAGACAAAAAUGUAACUUCUUACAAUAGAAAAUGGAACACAGCUGUCUAGCCAUCUCAGACAAAGACAUGCUUCCACUUUAAAAAUAAAAAUUAGGCCAGGCAGUGGUGAGGCAGAGGCAGGCAGAUUUCUGAGUUCAAGGACAGCUUGGUCUACAGAGUGAGUUCCAGGACAGCCAGGGCUACACAGAGAAACCAACAAAAGCAACA